GUGUUUCUCUAGCUUUUCUGUCAGGAAAUAGAAAGACUUGGAGAAAGCACAAUCCUUGUUACUGCAGAAACCCUAAAUUUAAGCCAAAGAAAACAACAUUCUCCAAACACUGAAAAUGAGUCACGAUCAAAACCAGCCUCAAGUUUGGAAUUCUGCUGUAGCAAAUGAGUCAAAGGGCACUGCACCACCUCCACCUGUAAUAAUUGUCGAGGAUAAGGUUGAAGAAACGAAAUUCAAGGGUGAUGGCUUUUGGAGAGGAUGUUGUGCUGGAAUUUGUUGCUACUGUUGUUUGGACAUUUGCUUCUGAGAUAUCGGGAAUAUACUAUGCAUAUAGUAGUGCAAGUAUUAUAUUUCUGAAUAAAAAGUAUAUGUUUGUGCGUGUAAUAUUAUAAGGUUUCAAUAUCUAUGGAAUCUACAUGUAUAAUUAAA